ACGCUCGACACCUACGGGAGGCAGCAGUGGGGAAUAUUGCACAAUGGGGGAAACCCUGAUGCAGCGACGCCGCGUGAAGGAAGAAGUAUCUCGGUAUGUAAACUUCUAUCAGCAGGAAGAAAUGACGGUACCUGACUAAGAAGCCCCGGCUAACUACGUGCCAACAGCCGCGGUAAUCUGAGCGGCUGGCAAGGC
rnacentral:rRNA from 1 species